rnacentral:rRNA from 1 species
CCUACGGGUGGCAGCAGUGGGGAAUAUUGGGCAAUGGGCGCAAGCCUGACCCAGCAACGCCGCGUGAAGGAAGAAGGCUUUCGGGUUGUAAACUUCUUUUGACAGGGAAGAGCAGACGACCGUACCUGUGGAAUAAGCCACGGCUAACUACGUGCCAGCAGCCGCGUUAAUACGUAGGUGGCAAGCGUUGGCCGGAUUUACUGGGUUUAAAGGGUGCGUAGGCGGGUUGGAAAGUCAGCGGUAAAAUCGAGAGGCUCAACCUCAUUCCGCCGUUGAAACUGUCGGUCUUGAGUGGGCGAGAAGUAUGCGGAAUGCGUGGUGUAGCGGUGAAAUGCUUAGAGAUCAUACAGAACACCGAUUGCGAAGGCAGCUUACCAAGCUACGUCUGACGUUGAGGCACGAAAGCGUGGGGAGCAAACAGGAUUAGAUACCCUUGUAGUC